GUGGGGAAUUUUGGACAAUGGGCGCAAGCCUGAUCCAGCAAUGCCGCGUGCAGGAAGAAGGCCUUCGGGUUGUAAACUGCUUUUGUACGGAACGAAACGGUCCUGGCUAAUAUCCGGGGCUAAUGACGGUACCGUAAGAAUAAGCACCGGCUAACUACGUGCCAGCAGCCGCGGUAAUACGUAGGGUGCGAGCGUUAAUCGGAAUUACUGGGCGUAAAGCGUGCGCAGGCGGUGCUGUAAGACAGGCGUAAAAUCCCCGGGCUCAACCUGGGGAUUGCGCUUGUGACUGCAGUGCUGGAGUGCGGCAGAGGGGGAUGGAAUUCCGCGUGUAGCAGUGAAAUGCGUAGAUAUGCGGAGGAACACCGAUGGCGAAGGCAAUCCCCUGGGCGUGCACUGACGCUCAUGCACGAAAGCGUGGGGAGCAAACAGGAUUAGAUACCCUGGUAGUCC
rnacentral:rRNA from 1 species